rnacentral:rRNA from 1 species
AACGCGCAGAACCUUACCAACCCUUGACAUCCCUGGACCGAUCCGGAGACGGAUCUUUCACUUCGGUGACCAGGUGACAGGUGCUGCAUGGCUGUCGUCAGCUCGUGUCGUGAGAUGUUCGGUUAAGUCCGGCAACGAGCGCAACCCACGUCCCCAGUUGCCAGCAUUCAGUUGGGCACUCUGUGGAAACUGCCGGUGAUAAGCCGGAGGAAGGUGUGGAUGACGUCAAGUCCUCAUGGCCCUUACGGGUUGGGCUACACACGUGCUACAAUGGUGGUGACAGUGGGUUAAUCCCCAAAAGCCAUCUCAGUUCGGAUUGGGGUCUGCAACUCGACCCCAUGAAGUUGGAAUCGCUAGUAAUCGCGGAACAGCACGCCGCGGUGAAUACGUUCCCGGGCCUUGUACACACCGCCCGUCACACCAUGGGAGUUGGGUCUACCCGACGGCCGUGCGCUAACCCUUACGGGAGGCAGCGGACCACGGUAG